rfam:Gossypium arboreum cultivar AKA8401 contig_3472_1, whole genome shotgun sequence.
UGUUAAUAAUCUCAUCUAUUUGUACUGUUAAAAAUUGACGUGGUUGACGAAAUUACCAAACAGUGAUAUGUAACAUGCCACUUGUACAUUAUGCUGAUGUAUAGGGAUCAAUUUUGAACAGUAAAAAUGAAUUAAAUUUUUAACA